rnacentral:rRNA from 1 species
GACGAACCGUGCGAACGUUGUUCGGAAUCACUGGGCUUAAAGGGAGCGUAGGCGGGCUAUCAAGUCUGGGGUGAAAUGCCGCGGCUCAACCGUGGAACUGCCUCAGAUACUGACGGCCUCGAGGAAGAUAGGGGCAUGCGGAACUGUGAGUGGAGCGGUGAAAUGCGUAGAUAGUCGGAAGGAACACCGGUGGCGAAAGCGGCGCGCUGGACCUCUUCUGACGCUGAGGCGCGAAAGCCAGGGGAGCAAACGGG